rnacentral:rRNA from 1 species
UACGUAGGUGGCGAGCGUUGUCCGGAUUUACUGGGCGUAAAGGGCGUGCAGGCGGUCUGUUAAGUGCAGGGUGAAAGCUCCCGGCUCAACUGGGAGAGGUCCUUGCAUACUGGCGAACUCGAGGGAGGCAGAGGAAAGUGGAAUUCCCGGUGUAGUGGUGAUAUGCGUAGAGAUCGGGAGGAACAUCAGUGGCGAAGGCGGCCAUCUGGGACAACACUGACGCUGAAGCACGAAAGCGUGGGGAGCAAACAGG